GAAGCAUAUCAAUAAGCGGAGCAGCAUAUCAAUAACGGAGGA
rnacentral:rRNA from 1 species